rnacentral:rRNA from 1 species
UAGUUAAAUAUUAAAGGUAAGUUCUGCCCUAUGAUUAAUUAAAUGGCUGCAGUAUUUUGACUGUGCAAAGGUAGCAUAAUAAUUAGUCUUUUAAUUGAAGGCUGGUAUGAAUGAAUACAUGAGAAAUUAAUUUUAUUUUUUAUAUUAUUUUAAUUUGAUUUUUGAGUAAGAAAGCUUAAUUUUUUAUCUGGGACGAUAAGACCCUAUAGAACUUUAGUUUUAUUAUUUUCUAAUUAUUAUUUAGUUUAUUUAAAUUAUUAAUUAUAUUAAUACUUUUAUUGGGGCGGUAAAUAAAUUUGACUUUAUUUUAUUAAUUCAUUUAUUUAUGUAAUUUUGAUCCAAUAUUUGAUUAUAAGAAUUAAGUUACCUUAGGGAUAACAGCGUAAUUUUAAUGGGGAGUUCAUAUUUAUAUUAAAGUUUGCGACCUCGAUGUUGAAUUAAGAUAAGAAUGGGGGGUAG